AUUGAACGCUGGCGGCAUGCCUUACACAUGCAAGUCGAACGGUAACAGGUCUUCGGAUGCUGACGAGUGGCGGACGGGUGCGUAAUACAUCGGAACGUGCCCGAUCGUGGGGGAUAACGGGGCGAAAGCUUUGCUAAUACCGCAUACGAUCUACGGAUGAAAGCGGGGGAUCUUCGGACCUCGCGCGGGCGGAGCGGCCGAUGGCAGAUUAGGUAGUUGGUGGGAUAAAAGCUUACCAAGCCGACGAUCUGUAGCUGGUCUGAGAGGAUGAUCAGCCACACUGGGACUGAGACACGGCCCAGACUCCUACGGGAGGCAGCAGUGGGGAAUUUUGGACAAUGGGCGAAAGCCUGAUCCAGCCAUGCCGCGUGCAGGAUGAAGGCCUUCGGGUUGUAAACUGCUUUUGUACGGAACGAAAAGCCUCUUUCUAAUAAAGAGGGGUCAUGACGGUACCGGAAGAAUAAGCACCGGCUAACUACGUG
rnacentral:rRNA from 1 species